UACGUAGGGUGCAAGCGUUAAUCGGAAUUACUGGGCGUAAAGCGUGCGCAGGCGGUUUUGUAAGUCUGACGUGAAAUCCCCGGGCUCAACCUGGGAAUUGCGUUGGAGACUGCAAGGCUGGAGUCUGGCAGAGGGGGGUAGAAUUCCACGUGUAGCAGUGAAAUGCGUAGAGAUGUGGAGGAACACCGAUGGCGAAGGCAGCCCCCUGGGCUGAGAUUGACGCUCAGGCACGAAAGCGUGGGGAGCAAACAGG
rnacentral:rRNA from 1 species